UACGUAGGAUGCGAGCGUUAUCCGGAAUUAUUGGGUGUAAAGCGUGUGUAGGCGGGAAAUUAAGUCUAAGGUCUAAGCCCGGAGCUCAACUCCGGUUCGCCUUAGAAACUGAUUUUCUUGAGUACGGUAGAGGCAAACGGAAUUUCUAGUGUAGCGGUAAAAUGCGUAGAUAUUAGAAGGAACACCAGUGGCGAAGGCGGUUUGCUGGGCCGAAGCUGACGCUGAGACACGAAAGCGUGGGGAGCAAAUA
rnacentral:rRNA from 1 species